AAAACAUCAAAUGAGCUAAAAGUUCAUCAGACACACACAGGAGAGAAGCCUUAUUCCUGCUCUGACUGUGGAAAAUGUUUUAAAACAUCAAAUCAGCUAAAAGUUCAUCAGAGAACACACACAGGAGAGAAGCCUUACUCCUGUUCUGACUGUGGGGUGAGUUUCUCUCAACUGGAUACCUUAAAAACACACAACAUAUACAUGCAGGAGAGAAGCCAUACUCCUGCUCUGCCUGUGUAAAAUGCUUCAAAACAGCAACUGAGCUAAAAGUUCAUCAGAGAACACACAUGAGAGAAGCCUGCUUACGUCUGCUCUGACUUUUGGGUGAGUUUCUCUCACCAUAGCAACUUAACACACCAGUGUAAACACACAGGAGAGAUGCCUUACCUCUGCUCUGUGGAAUGGUGGGCGUGUAACUCAAACUUCUAGCCAAAAAGGCUGCUGUGUUUGAAUCUCAUCAAGGAGGACUUGAGCAUUUUAGCUAAUUAGCAACUUUGCAACUACUUACUACUUUUUAACUAUUACUUAGCAUGUUAGCUUAGCAUGCAACUACUUAGCAUGUUAGCUAACCUUUCCCCUAAACCCAUUUAACUCUACCUUAAACCCCUCACCCCUAACCUAGCUAACGUUAGCAACAACAAAUUGGAAUUCGUAACAUAUCAUACAUAUUACAAGUUCGUAACAUAUUGUAUGAAUAGCAAUGCGUAAAAUAACAUAAGAAUUGUAAUUCUUAACAUACGAUACAUCCUACAAGUCGUAUUAUACUGAACAACAAUCUAAACGCAACAAUUUCAAAGAUUUAUAGUUUGUAUAAGGAAAUCAGUCAUUUUAAAUAAAUGAGGCCCUAAUCUAUGGAUUUCACAUGACUGGGCAGGGGCUCAGGCAUAGGCCCACUUGGGAGCCAGGCCCAGCCAAUCAGCAUGAGUUUUUCCCCACAAAAGUUCUUGAUUACAGACAUAAAUACUACUCAGUCCCCUCCCAGACAAUCCUGCAGGUGAAGAGGUCCUGGGCUGCCGUGGUUACAUGUGAUCUGCAGUUGUGAGGCCGGAUGGAUGUACUGCCAAAUUCUCUAAAAGGACGUUAGAGGUGGCUUAUGGUAGAGAUAUAAAUAUUGAGUUCUCUGGCAACAGCUCUGGUGGACAUUCCUGCAUUCAUCAUGACAAUUGCACAUUCCCUGAACUUGAGACAUCUGUGACAUUGUGUUGUGUGGCCUUUUAUUGUCCCCCAGCACAAGGUGCACCUGUGUAAUGAUAAUGCUGUUUUAUCAGCAUCUUGAUAUGCCACACCUGUCAGGUGGAUGGAUUAUCUUGACAAAGGCUGAAAUGCUCACUAACAGUAUAUAUAAACAAAGUUGUGCACAACAUUUGAGAUGUUUUUUUUUCUGCAUGGAACAUUGCUGGAAUGUUUUAUUUCAGCUCAUGAAACCAACACUUUACAUGUUUAGUUUAUAUUUUAGUUCAGUUUAUAUUGGUAGUCCAAUGUAAUGUAACCUAACAUACUAAAUGGAGUGGCAUGGAUGUUUUUGUAAUACAUAAUACGUUUUGCUCUGAGACCAGGUUGUCCCUCUGCAGUAUUCUGUGGGAAGGAGCUAGUAGACACUUUUUUUAAAAACCUUUAUUUAACUAGGCAAGUCUGUUAAGAACAAAUUCUUAUUUACAAUGAUGGCCUAGGAACAGUGGGUUAACUGCCUUGUUCAGAGGCUGAACAACAGAGUUUUACCUUGUCAGCUCGGGGAUUUU
ensembl:lncRNA